GAUUUAGCUCAGUGGUAGAGCAUUUGCUUUGCAUGCAGAAAGUCUCAGUUUUGAUCCCUGGCAUCUCCA